CUGCAGCCAGGGAAGAUAAUCAGCUUCUUUUUCUCAGGGGGACCUGGCAUGCAAUGGCUGCAAGCAACAGACCCCUUGGGAACACAUGCAGCCUGUUGCUUGUAUGGGUAGCCCUAAAGAACCCUGAAGACCACC